UACGUAGGGUGCAAGCGUUGUCCGGAAUUAUUGGGCGUAAAGAGCUCGUAGGUGGCCUGUCGCGUCGGCUGUGAAAACUCGGGGCUCAACUCCGAGCUUGCAGUCGAUACGGGCAGGCUAGAGUUCGGCAGGGGAGACUGGAAUUCCUGGUGUAGCGGUGAAAUGCGUAGAGAUCAGGAAGAACACCCGUGGCGAAGGCGGCCCACUGGGCCGGUACUGACGCUGAGGCGCGAAGGCGUGGGGAGCGAACGGG
rnacentral:rRNA from 1 species